rnacentral:rRNA from 1 species
UCGGAUUGUAGUCUGCAACUCGACUACAUGAAGCCGGAAUCGCUAGUAAUCGCGGAUCAGAAUGCCGCGGUGAAUACGUUCCCGGGUCUUGUACACACCGCCCGUCACACCAUGGGAGCCGGAAAUGCCCGAAGUCAGUGACCCAACCGCGAGGAGGGAGCUGCCGAAGGCAGGUCUGGUAACUGGGGUGAAGUCGUAACAAGGUACC